AGAACCAGAUUUACGAGCACCAAGGCCUAGGAAGGCGGCAAGACUCCUAGAGCAUCUGAGUAGAACGCUCUGCGUAGGUUUGCCUAGUCCUCCCGCCACAGAAAGACCUGCAGCAUCCGGUCUAGCCAGAGACCGCAUGGCCAGGCCCGCACCGCCCAGGUCCGGAGAAUUCCCGGGAUUGGCUGCCCGGACCGCCCCUACCCCCGACCGUCCCGCCCCGGAUGCCCUGCUCGCGCCCCGCCCCGCCCCGCUUGCAUUUUCUCGGCGCAGCACACGCGCCCCGGCCUCAGUCUUGCUGAAUUGAGCGGGUGCAGCCGCGGCUACUUUGUAGCGGGGUCGGGCCCCACCCAGACUGAGGCGGUUACAGCGGAUCUUGAACCAACCGUGGGCCUGGGGAAUUUAUCUCCAGCUACUGCCGGCUGCAGCGGCCUGAGUACUAAGCGCAGUCUCUUUCAAAGAUUUCUCCAAGACCGGAUUCGGGCCAUCUCUUCUCAAGACCAAGUCAAAGACCAUUCUUCUUGAGAGCCUCACCUUAACUUCGGAAAAAGGAAACCCUGGGCCCUAGAAAGAUCCUCUGUUCCAGACCCCAAAACCAUCGCCCCUGUCCAGGAGGAAGUAGCCAGAGAGAUACGGCACCCUUUUCCCAUCCUUUUAUGACUUCAGGGUCUGUAAUGAAGGAGUCCUCAGGCCUAGACAAAGAAGAUAACUACCUCAAGGGCCCUUGCUGGACCACCUGACUUCAGGGAAAAUAAAACUGAACUUUGCCCCACUCCAAUACUCCAGGCAGAUUGCAUCAGCUUGGAACUUUCCGCCCCCUGCUCAACUGCAAAUGCCAUCUCAGGUUGAAAACUACAGGUACAAGCCAUUGAAGCCAGGAUGCUGUCUGAUGCUGGUAUUUUAACUGACCUACACCAACUAUAUCGCUGUGCAGUGUACAACAGUGAGUCUAAUGAGGCCAGCUAUUCUCACAUAACUUGUAGCAGCUAUGGAUCUGCACUGGCAUAGGAGUUGGGUCAGUGGGAUAAUGCUGGUGGUUUAAUUCUCCCAGCUUUAUGAAGUGGGUAGUGUAAAAUUAUAGAUGAAGCAAUAUUUCAGGUAGUGAAUUAAUAUUCCAUCACAUAUGCAUAGCCCUAAACAAGGAACCUCAUAUGUACCUUUCUGGCUAUGUAAACUAUGGAAAGUCAUGUAUCUGUCUUGGGAUUUAGUGUCCUUGUGUAACAGUAGAAGUAUUCAAAUAGAGAUUAGGCCAUUUGGGGAGGGAGUUAGGAUUAGAGACUUACUCAGAAUAUAUGUUGAAAUUUGGCACAAAGGACCAUUCUUCAGCAUGUUAAAUGCUGCUGAUGAAUGUAGCACAGUGAGCUGUAAGAAGGAAUUUAAAAGACACAAUGAUGCUAGAUUGUUAGAAUUCUGAAAGGAUUGGAGGUGAUGGGAGAGUUUUCAUAUAGGAAGAAAUGUCAGUGUAGCAAAAUUAACAGCCCAGUAGGAGCUAGGAAUUCUUCCUGUUGAUCAGCACUGAAUGUUUGCAAAUACCUCAUUUUCCAGAAAUCGUAAAUCUUAAGCCUAGGAUUCACUCUUAAUGCUUAUUUCAAAACAUUGUUUUAGCCUCUGUGUAAACUUCAUUUUUUUAAUAUUCCAAAUUCUGUAAAAUCUAGCCUCCUAAUAUAGGAAAUUCAACAAAUAUGUUGUAAAAGAAUAAUUGCUAGACAAGGGCAAUAGGAAAGGCGUGGGUAUGCACUCUGAGUGGAGGACAUAAUUUCAGAUAGAGCUGGCUGAGACUAACUACAGAAGACCUGAAAGGGCUGCAGAGGGUAAUGUGGUUGUUACAGUCAACCUUUGAGUAACGUGGAUUUGAACUUCAUGGGUCCCCUUAUUCACAGGUAUUUUCAGUAGAAGAUACUACAUGGUUGAAUUUGUGGAUGUGGAGGGCCAUCUAUAAAUUAUUCAGAUUAACUCCUGUAUUAUACAAAGGUCAACUGUACAUAUUUGGAUGAAGAGGAUUUCAGGUAGAGGGAAAGCAAGUGCAAAGGCCCUGGGGAGGGAUAUGUUUAAAGGUUUGUGGGGAAAGCAAGGUGAAGCUGCAGAGAAGUGGCCUUAAGUUUGUGUGCAGGGCUAGGGUGGAUAUUUGAGACCAUUCUAAGAUGGCAGCUUGCUUUCUGGCCUGUCAGACCUCGGAAUGCGAUCACUUAACGUACAAUGCCCCCUGCCAUCCAUAUACUUUCCCACGUUUCUAUUAAGUGCUAUCUUCCCUCCCCGGUGCUCUUAUUCUGGAGUUCUAUAGCACCUUGUAAUGCCCUUACACUUGGAAGCACAUUUUGUGGUUUCUUGUGAGCUUGCCUACCUGCCCCUGCCAAUAAAAUCCAUCUUGGUAUCUACCAUAUUCCUGGGGUCUGACCAAAUACCUGGCUUAUUAUAAGUUCUCAAAUACUUAGUCCUAAAACCAUGGUGACUAUAGUACAAAGAGCAGUAUUAUUUAUAAUACUAUUGUUAGUUGUGUUGAAUUGUCUUAUAAAUCACACUGAAGUGGCUUACUUAGGAUUGGAGCCUAGUUAAUAAGAGCCUAGAUUCAAAUCCCCAUCCUAAAUGAUCUCUGACCAGUUCUUAACUUCAAUUUCUUUAUCUUUGGUGGUGGCUUAGUCGCUAUGUUGAGUCUAACUCUUAAGUUGAUGAUAGUUACUGGGGUUAUACGCAGUACAUCUAACUCCCUGGUGAGUAGUAGGCACUUAGUAGUGCUAUAGGAUCAUUUUGAUAAUACUGUAUGGUCACUGUAAUUUAGAUCAGAAUGAAAAUACUGAUACUUGAUAUUUAUAUGGUACUAAGAUCCUGGCUUUAAUGUUCAUUAAAAAAAAAUAAUAGAGUACCUGCUAUGGGCCAAGACCUAUUCUGGGUAUUGUGAACAAAGCAGAUCAGAGUAUGUAAUUGCAACUGGUCUUUGACGAAGGCCUCUGGUGUAAAGGCCUGUGACUAGCAUUUUGGUGGAGACAGUAUUUGGUAGACUAAAGGCCUAGAUGAAAGUCUGAGGGUGCUAGCAAAGUUUCCAAGGGUAACCACUGGUUGCACAAGAAGCUUCACUCCACCGAGCCCUGCUGGUGGUUCUCUGUCCCUUGAGGAGUCACUUGGGCUGGGCAGACAGGUGGAAACCUUGGUUCUGCCACAGAUUUCCCCCUCUCCCAGGAAGCAACUGCAACCGGUACAGUCCUGUUCAUACGUUGGUUUUCCAAAAAUUUUUUAAAUAACCAGGAAUUUGUUAUUUAAAAUUGUACAGUCCAUGGGGUUACAGUCCAUGCAGGCUACCGUCCAUGGGCUUGCAAAGAGUCAGACACAACUGAGUGACUAAGCACAACACACAGGUUGCAACAAAUACUGAUACCGAAUAAUGGCAGCUUCAUGCUAGAGAUUGGUAAGUAGAUGGGCAGACCCAAGUUUCUGAAUAAAAAACUUACUGAAUUUCAGUAUUCUUGUGGGGCUAUCACAGUCAAUAAAUAAAACAUUAUUGAAAAGAUUGUGUGUUGUUUACAUGUUGCCAUUCACAGUAAUGCCUUUUGAAUCUCAUUCCUUUCAAAGAAGUUAGGAUCAAAACUCACUGUAGCAAAUUGUAGACCUGAAUAGAGUGAAAGUAUAAAAAACUCCCCACCAUUCCUUUCUUGCUGACAGAUGUGAAUACCUAUUGUUAAUGCUUGCCACAGCAAAAAGGUUUCAUUAUUACAAGUCUGAAUAUUUCUGCCUAAAAGUGGCCACUCUUCUUUUGAGAUAUUCCCAUUAUCUCUGGCUUCCCUGGUUCCCUGGGGGCUCAGAAGGUAAAAGAUCCAUCUGCAAUGCAGGAGAUGUCAGUUAGAUCCCUGGGUUGGGAAGAUCUGGAGGAGGGCUUGGCAACCCACUCCAGUAUUGCCUAGAGAAUCCCCAAGGACAGGAGCCAGGCAGGCUACAGUCCAUGGGGUAGCACAGAGUUGAACGCGACCGAAGCAACUUGGCAUUCCCUAAACAUGCACCCAAGUGGCAGGUUCUGGUGCAGCCCUAUUUUGGUUAGACUUCUACAGGAUCAUUGCCCACAAGAGAGUUUGCUAGGAACUUCCCUCAGGUGCACGCUUCCUUUCAGAAUGAGUCUAUUAAUUUAGCUUCUUACUCAUUUUUUUUCUUAGUUAAUUGGCUUUCAGCAAAAUGCCUGACCCUCAACUGUUCAUGUGUAAUAUGGGUAACUGCAAUAUGCUUGCAUCGUCCUGGGUGUCAUCUCCGCCUUCAAGCCUUUUAUGCUAGUCAGAGGCUUGCUCUUGACAGUACUUCUUCACCAUAAAUUAUAUUUUAACAUUUCAAGGGUCUCGCAGAUUUACACUUAGCUUUAUACAAAGCUUAAUACGAAAUUUUUGCUCUAAAUAAUGAUCACUCGUUUUUAUGGUUGAAAAACAAAUUGUCAUCUACUCACAAAAUUAGCUGGCAACCUAGAAAGCAGUGUGGUCAGCUGAAACGUGUUGUAUUAAUAGGCCAAAUACAUAAAAAGAGAAUGGGUGCUGUUGUCUACAGUCUGCUUUCAGUUCUUUUGAGUGUAUACCAGGAGGCCGAACUUCAACAUUUGCUAUUUUCUACCACUUUCCACAACAGUACGUGAAUAUUCAGGUAUGUACAGGGCUCAGUAUUCGAGAUCCCCAUUUACCUUUUACCCCCUUCUUGGCCGUGCUUUUUCUGCAGUGAAAACAGACCCAGCCACAAGACUUUUAGUAUUAAGUGUAAAAUACGUGAAGAUAACUGUGUUGUUUGCCAAGUGCAAGAAUUCAAUACAUAUUGACACUCCCCAUUACUGGAGGAAUCUUGCAUUACUGCAGGUGUUUCCAUUAGAAACGACCUUCAAAAUGUAGAUGUGACUUUACCCUCACUUAACUAUCUGUACAGCAGCCGAAACUAGCCGAGCUAGAAACAGGCUAGAACAAGAACCGACCAUUUAAGCGAGGCGGUUCAUUCCUCUAAGUAUUCUAUCUCACUGUCCUGCGAGCACUCAAGCGCGGUAACCAGAGAGCCACAAACUCUUCCACUAUUUUGAAUGCAAAUAUCCCUUCCGAGGCCGCAAACCGUUCAGUAGACGGAGUGAGCGUCAGUGCCCUGCAGGGCCCAAUCAGGUCGCGCUUUACUACCUUGGGUUCCUCCCGCCAAGCGGCAGCAGAGCCGCGCCGACAGCGAAUCUCCACCCCGAGGAGGGGAGGUAGGGAACCGCGAGUGAAAACCCAAGACCCGGCGGCUAAGCGACCCCACGGCCCGGGCCCAGCCUCACCUCCGCCUCGGGCACCACGGGUCCGGGGUUCGAGACAGGCAGCUCUCUGCCUGCGGCUCGUCAAACUCCCUGACCACGCCUACUGCCCUUCAAAUCCCCGCGGCUCGGGGUAGCGAGCGAAUGGACGCUACCAAGGGCCGAGGCAUCCGAGUAGGCAAAGACACCGCACCCUCCACCCACCGGCAAUGAGACCAAGUGUUCCAAACCCGGUGGAAGACCUGCGCCCUCGCGAGAGUUCUGACACACUCCUACAGGCCGCGAGAACCCUGGGGGACGCAGCCUGCCAAUCAACACAUGGAGGCGGUUCCGCGCGCACCCAAUGGGCUAAGCACGGAAAAGUUCGCGUCCCAUUGGCAUGUUUUCCGGAGCCAACUUCGUCUUCUCCGUCUGAACCCUCGUCCCACUCUCCGGCACUGCUUCUCAGCUGAGGAGAUGGCUUAUCAGUGCUGGAGCUGAGAUUAAAGCUGUGAAUCCCACCACCGCCACCUCUAUGAGAGUUAUCAGACUUAAAAGGUGUCUUAUAAGAAGGGGACAGAGAGAUCUGACUGCAGAACAGAAGAAAAAGACAAUGUGACAGCGGAGGCAAGAUGCUACACUGCAGGCUUUGAAGGUGGGGGGGGGGGGGCCUUGAGGCAAUGAAUGCUCAGAGUGGAGCUCUACAGCUGGAAGAGGCAAAGAAACAGACUAUUCCCUGGAAACUUCAAGAGGAGCAUGGCCCUACAGACACCCUGAUGUUGGCCCAGGGAAACUGACUUCCAACUCUGACCCCCAGAACUGUAAGAUCAUAAAUGUGUGCUUUAAGCCAA